GAUGAACGCUGGCGGCGUGCCUAAUACAUGCAAGUCGAGCGAACGGACGAGAAGCUUGCUUCUCUGAUGUUAGCGGCGGACGGGUGAGUAACACGUGGAUAACCUACCUAUAAGACUGGGAUAACUUCGGGAAACCGGAGCUAAUACCGGAUAAUAUUUUGAACCGCAUGGUUCAAAAGUGAAAGACGGUCUUGCUGUCACUUAUAGAUGGAUCCGCGCUGCAUUAGCUAGUUGGUAAGGUAACGGCUUACCAAGGCAACGAUGCAUAGCCGAACUGAGAGAGUGAUCGGCCACACGGGAACUUAGACACGGACCAGACGCCUAAGGGAGGCAGCAGUAUGGAAUCGUAGGCAGUGGGCGGAAGCCUGGCGGAGCGGCGCCGAGUGUGAGACGGAAGUGUUCGGUUCGGAAAGAUCUGUUAUGAGGGAAGAACAGAUGUGGAAGGUGCUGAGGAGAGCUUGACGGUACCUGAUCAGAAAGCCACGGCUAACUACGUG
rnacentral:rRNA from 1 species